rnacentral:rRNA from 1 species
UACGAAGGGGGCUAGCGUUGCUCGGAAUCACUGGGCGUAAAGGGUGCGUAGGCGGGUCUUUAAGUCAGGGGUGAAAUCCUGGAGCUCAACUCCAGAACUGCCUUUGAUACUGAGGAUCUUGAGUUCGGGAGAGGUGAGUGGAACUGCGAGUGUAGAGGUGAAAAUUCGUAGAUAUUCGCAAGAACACCAGUGGCGAAGGCGGCUCACUGGCCCGAUACUGACGCUGAGGCACGAAAAGCGUGGGGAGCAAACAGG